rnacentral:rRNA from 1 species
AUGAGCCACCGGCGAGUGGAGGCAUGCGACUCCUGGCGCCCGCCGCCCGUGCCCGGGCACGCGCCUGCUCUCCUCCUCCGCGCGGGUAACCCGUGGGGCCGCUCCUGCCCGCCCUGCGCCUUCGCGUCUCUCUCCGUCCGUGAGGGCGGGGCGGCCGCCGUCAAGGCGGAGGAUGUGGGAGAGGAGAAGGAGAGAACGCUGGCUCAGGUGGCAGCGGAGGUCUCCGGGACGAAGGGCAAGAUGCCGCCGGUGGCGCAGCUGCUGAAGCACCCCCUGGCGCUGCUGGCGCUGGUGCCCAGCAGCGUCGCGCUCUUCGCGGCCGGCGCCGGGGCGGGCGCCGUCGCCAAGACGGUUACCGCGCCGCUCGACCGCGUCAAGCUCCUCAUGCAGACACAUAGCGUGCGGAUGGCGGGUGAGAGCACCAAGGGAAUUGGAUUCGUGCAGGCUAUGGCAGAGAUAGGGAAGGAGGAGGGUAUAAAGGGUUACUGGAAGGGCAAUCUUCCACAGGUUAUCCGCAUAAUUCCAUACAGUGCAGUGCAACUUUUCUCAUAUGAAGUUUACAAGAAAGUAUUCCGGAGAAAGGAUGGAGAGCUUACUGUAUUUGGGAGACUUGCAGCUGGGGCUUGUGCGGGCAUGACUUCUACACUUGUGACUUACCCACUCGAUGUCCUCCGGCUUAGGCUAGCAGUUCAAUCUGGACAUAGCACUAUGUCACUGGUUGCUCUGAACAUGCUGAGAGAAGAAGGGCUAGCUUCCUUCUAUGGGGGCCUUGGUCCAUCUCUUAUAGGAAUUGCACCUUACAUUGCUGUAAACUUCUGUGUUUUUGACCUAAUGAAGAAAUCCGUACCGGAGAAGUACAAGAGUAGACCAGAGACUUCUCUAGCAACUGCUCUUCUUUCAGCAACAUUUGCAACUUUGAUGUGCUAUCCGUUGGACACUGUUAGGAGGCAGAUGCAAAUGAAAGGCACACCAUACAAUACAAUUUUUGAUGCCAUUCCAGGCAUUGUGGAGCGUGAUGGUCUAGUUGGGCUAUACAGAGGUUUUGUGCCAAACGCGCUGAAAAAUCUACCAAAUAGCAGCAUUAAACUCACCGCAUUCGACACAAUGAAGAUCCUGAUAUCUACUGGGCAAAAGGAACUGGAAAAAAUAAUGCAAGAAAAUCAGGAGAAAACAAGCUAG